UAUAGAUUAUAUAUAAGUUAUGGAGCUUAAUUACCUUAUUAAGGAAAGUGUUCAGCCAGUUUUCUUCAAAACUACGCAAGGGAUUAACUGUAAAUAAUGGUUAUGCUGAUGAAAACAUUUCUCAAGAGUCACAAAGAGAUCCGUAGAAGGUGGAGAUAUAUAGGAGAAUUGGAUGAACACUCCCAUGAAAGGAAAAACAUACACUGUGUGUAUAUUAUAUACAUAUCAGAUAGGAACUGACGAUGUAUGUAUAUACCCUUCUGUGUAGUGAAGAAAAAUCACAUACAAGGACUUGCAAGUGAGAAAUAUAACUGAGUCUUUGGAGAUAUAUAUAUUAGUCUCAUCGUACCUGAGUUGGGAACUGGAACCUCCUAUCCUUUCUUUGACACAAAAGGGGCUUUUUGGUGUGUUGCAAUCCAGACAAGAAAGCAGCUGUAAAGAGGCAUGAAUUUACCAAGAAAGAUAAUUAAAAUAAAUAAAAUGGGAAGAGGAAAUUACAUGAUAGUAAUAAAUUCAGCAGCAAUGUGAAAAAAGAUCUUACCUUUUACAGACCCUUCAACUUUCUGCCCAUCACCUGCCGCAACCCUGCUCAACUAAGAAGCAGCAAGAACAAUAAC
rnacentral:lncRNA from 1 species